rnacentral:rRNA from 1 species
UACGUAGGGGGCAAGCGUUGUCCGGAAUCAUUGGGCGUAAAGAGCGUGUAGGCGGUCCGGUCAGUCGGCUGUGAAAGUCAAGGGCUCAACCCUUGAAUGCCGGCCGAUACUGCCGGGCUAGAGUCCGGAAGAGGAGAGUGGAAUUCCUGGUGUAGCGGUGAAAUGCGCAGAUAUCAGGAAGAACACCUAUGGCGAAGGCAGCUCUCUGGGACGGUACUGACGCUGAGACGCGAAAGCGUGGGGAGCGAACAGG